rnacentral:rRNA from 2 species
CCGAGGAAAAGAAAUCAACCGAGAUUCCCCCAGUAGCGGCGAGCGAACGGGGAGGAGCCCAGAGCCUGAAUCAGCAUGUGUGUUAGUGGAAGCGUCUGGAAAGGCGCGCGAUACAGGGUGACAGCCCCGUACACAAAAGCGCAUGUGCUGUGAGCUCGAUGAGUAGGGCGGGACACGUGGUAUCCUGUCUGAAUAUGGGGGGACCAUCCUCCAAGGCUAAAUACUCCUGACUGACCGAUAGUGAACCAGUACCGUGAGGGAAAGGCGAAAAGAACCCCGGCGAGGGGAGUGAAAAAGAACCUGAAACCGUGUACGUACAAGCAGUGGGAGCACCCUUUGGGGUGUGACUGCGUACCUUUUGUAUAAUGGGUCAGCGACUUAUAUUCUGUAGCAAGGUUAACCGUAUAGGGGAGCCGUAGGGAAACCGAGUCUUAACCGGGCGUUAAGUUGCAGGGUAUAGACCCGAAACCCGGUGAUCUAGCCAUGGGCAGGUUGAAGGUUGGGUAACACUAACUGGAGGACCGAACCGACUAAUGUUGAAAAAUUAGCGGAUGACCUGUGGCUGGGGGUGAAAGGCCAAUCAAACCGGGAGAUAGCUGGUUCUCCCCGAAAGCUAUUUAGGUAGCGCCUCGUGAAUUCAUCUCCGGGGGUAGAGCACUGUUUCGGCUAGGGGGCCAUCCCGGCUUACCAACCCGAUGCAAACUGCGAAUACCGGAGAAUGUUAUCACGGGAGACACACGGCGGGUGCUAACGUCCGUCGUGAAGAGGGAAACAACCCAGACCGCCAGCUAAGGUCCCAAAGUCAUGGUUAAGUGGGAAACGAUGUGGGAAGGCCCAGACAGCCAGGAUGUUGGCUUAGAAGCAGCCAUCAUUUAAAGAAAGCGUAAUAGCUCACUGGUCGAGUCGGCCUGCGCGGAAGAUGUAACGGGGCUAAACCAU